rnacentral:rRNA from 1 species
GACGAACGCUGGCGGCGUGCUUAACACAUGCAAGUCGAACGGUAAGGCCCUUCGGGGUACACGAGUGGCGAACGGGUGAGUAACACGUGGGUGAUCUGCCCUGCACUUCGGGAUAAGCCUGGGAAACUGGGUCUAAUACCGGAUAGGACUCCUGGCUUCAUGGUUGGGGGUGGAAAGCUUUUGCGGUGUGGGAUGGGCCCGCGGCCUAUCAGCUUGUUGGUGGGGUAAUGGCCUACCAAGGCGACGACGGGUAGCCGGCCUGAGAGGGUGACCGGUCACACUGGGACUGAGAUACGGCCAAGGCUCCUACAGGAGGCAGCAGUGGGGAAUAUUGCACAAUGGGCGCAAGCCUGAUGCAGCGACGCCGCGUGAGGGAUGACGGCCUUCGGGUUGUAAACCUCUUUCAGCUAUGACGAAGCGCAAGUGACGGUAGUAGCAGAAGAAGGACCGGCCAACUACGUGCCAGCCGCCGCCGUAA